rnacentral:rRNA from 1 species
UCGAAAGAGUGAGUAAUACCUCAUAAGACUACAGCAUCGCAUGGUGCAGUGGUAAAAGGUUGGGAUCUUCGGACCUUCCGCCCAGGGAUGAGAUCGCGUCCUAUUGGCUUGUUGGUGAGGUAACGGCUCACCAAGCAGCGAUGGGUAGCCGGCCUUACGGGUGGACGGCCACACUGGAACUGAGACACGGUCCAGACUCCUACGGGAGGCUGCAGUGCUGAAUUAUUCGCCAAUGCGCGAAAGCGUGACGGUGCGACGCCGCGUGCGGGACGAAGGCCUUAGGGUCGUAAACCGCUGUCAGGGCUUCGGAAACCGUAGAGGUUAAUAGCCUCUGCGCUGACCAGGCCCAAAGGAAGCACAGGCUAAUCUCGUGCCAGCAGCCGCGGUAAUACGAGAUGUGCGAGCGUUGUUCGGAAUUACUGGGCAUAAAGGGUGCGCAGGCGGCCAUGUAAGUCAGGUGUGAAAUCCCUCGGCUCAACCGGGGAAUUGCAUCUGAUACUGCAUGGCUUGAGAACGAAAGGGGCAAGCGGAAUUCCAGGUGUAGCGGUGGAAUGCGUAGAUAUCUGGGAGAACGCCAAUGGCGAAGGCAGCUUGCUGGGUCGUUUCUGACGCUCAUGCACGAAAGCUAGGGGAGCAAACAGGAUUAGAUACCCUGGUAGUCCUAGCUGUAAACGAUGGGUACUAGGUUCCGGGAUUCCUGAUGAUUUCGGAGCCGCAGUUAAUGCGUUAAGUACCCCGCCUGGGGAGUAUGGUCGCAAGGCUAAAACUCAAAGGAAUUGGCGGGGGCUCACACAAGCGGUGGAGCAUGUUGUUCAAUUCGAAGCAACGCGAAGAACCUUACCUGGGUUUGACAUGCAGGAAGUAGAACCCUGAAAGGGGAACCACCGGUAUCCAAUCCGGAACCUGCACAGGUGCUGCAUGGCUGUCGUCAGCUCGUGUCGUGAGACGUUGGGUUAAGUCCCGUAACGAGCGAAACCCUUGUCGUCUGUUGCUACCAGGUAAUGCUGGGCACUCUGACGAGACUGCCGGUGUUAAACCGGAGGAAGGUGGGGACGACGUCAAGUCAUCAUGGUCACUUACAUCCAGGGCUACAAACGUGCUACAAUGGCGAGUACAGAGAGACGCGAGA